CAAGGGUUCCUGCGCAACGUUAAUCGACGCAGGGUUAGUCGGUUCCUAAGGCGAGGCUGAAAAGCGUAGUCGAUGGGAAACAGGUUAAUACUCCUGUACUUCUGGUUACUGCGAUGGAGGGACGGAGAAGGCUAGGCCAGCUUGGCGUUGGUUGUCCAAGUUUAAGGUGGUAGGCUGAAAUCUUAGGUAAAUCCGGGGUUUCAAGGCCGAGAGCUGAUGACGAGUCGUCUUUUAGAUGACGAAGUGGUUGAUGCCAUGCUUCCAAGAAAAGCUUCUAAGCUUCAGGUAACCAGGAACCGUACCCCAAACCGACACAGGUGGUCGGGUAGAGAAUACCAAGGCGCUUGAGAGAACUCGGGUGAAGGAACUAGGCAAAAUGGCACCGUAACUUCGGGAGAAGGUGCGCCGGCUAGGGUGAAGGAUUUACUCCGUAAGCUCUGGCUGGUCGAAGAUACCAGGCCGCUGCGACUGUUUAUUAAAAACACAGCACUCUGCAAACACGAAAGUGGACGUAUAGGGUGUGACGCCUGCCCGGUGCCGGAAGGUUAAUUGAUGGGGUUAGCGCAAGCGAAGCUCUUGAUCGAAGCCCCGGUAAACGGCGGCCGUAACAAUAACGGUCCUAAGGUAGCGAGAUUCCUUGUCGGGUAAGUUCCGACCUGCACGAAUGGCGUAACGAUGGCGGCGCUGUCUCCACCCGAGACUCAGUGAAAUUGAAAUCGCUGUGAAGAUGCAGUGUAUCCGCGGCUAGACGGAAAGACCCCGUGAACCUUUACUGUAGCUUUGCACUGGACUUUGAGCCUGCUUGUGUAGGAUAGGUGGGAGGCUUUGAAGCGUGGACGCCAGUUCGCGUGGAGCCAUCCUUGAAAUACCACCCUGGCAUGCUUGAGGUUCUAACUCUGGUCCGUAAUCCGGAUCGAGGACAGUGUAUGGUGGGCAGUUUGACUGGGGCGGUCUCCUCCUAAAGAGUAACGGAGGAGUACGAAGGUGCGCUCAGACCGGUCGGAAAUCGGUCGCAGAGUAUAAAGGCAAAAGCGCGCUUGACUGCGAGACAGACACGUCGAGCAGGUACGAAAGUAGGUCUUAGUGAUCCGGUGGUUCUGUAUGGAAGGGCCAUCGCUCAACGGAUAAAAGGUACUCCGGGGAUAACAGGCUGAUACCGCCCAAGAGUUCAUAUCGACGGCGGUGUUUGGCACCUCGAUGUCGGCUCAUCACAUCCUGGGGCUGAAGCCGGUCCCAAGGGUAUGGCUGUUCGCCAUUUAAAGUGGUACGCGAGCUGGGUUUAGAAUGUCGUGAGACAGUUCGGUCCCUAUCUGCCGCGGACGUUUGAGAUUUGAGAGGGGCUGCUCCUAGUACGAGAGGACCGGAGUGGACGAACCUCUGGUGUUCCGGUUGUCACGCCAGUGGCAUUGCCGGGUAGCUAUGUUCGGAAAAGAUAACCGCUGAAAGCAUCUAAGCGGGAAACUUGCCUCAAGAUGAGAUCUCACUGGGAACUUGAUUCCCCUGAAGGGCCGUCGAAGACUACGACGUUGAUAGGCUGGGUGUGUAAGCGUUGUGAGGCGUUGAGCUAACCAGUACUAAUUGCCCGUGAGGCUUGACC
rnacentral:rRNA from 1 species